AGCAGCCGCCGCGGUAAUACGUAGGUCCCGAGCGUUGUCCGGAUUUAUUGGGCGUAAAGCGAGCGCAGGCGGUUAGAUAAGUCUGAAGUUAAAGGCUGUGGCUUAACCAUAGUACGCUUUGGAACCUGUUUAACUUGAGUGCAGAAGAGGAGAGUGGAAUUCCACGUGUAGCGGUGAAAUGCGUAGAGAUGUGGAGGAACACCAGUGGCGAAGGCGACUCUCUGGUCUGUAACUGACGCUGAGGAGCGAAAGCGUGGGGAGCGAACAGGAUUAGAUACCCCGGUAGUCCCUGUCUCUUAUACA
rnacentral:rRNA from 1 species